rnacentral:rRNA from 1 species
GAAAGCGUAAUAGCUCACUAGUCGAGUCGGCCUGCGCGGAAGAUGUAACGGGGCUCAAACCAUGCACCGAAGCUACGGGUAUCACCUUUUGGUGAUGCGGUAGAGGAGCGUUCUGUAAGCCUGUGAAGGUGAGUUGAGAAGCUUGCUGGAGGUAUCAGAAGUGCGAAUGCUGACAUGAGUAACGACAAUGGGUGUGAAAAACACCCACGCCGAAAGACCAAGGUUUCCUGCGCAACGUUAAUCGACGCAGGGUUAGUCGGUCCCUAAGGCGAGGCUGAAAAGCGUAGUCGAUGGAAAACAGGUUAAUAUUCCUGUACUUCUGGUUAUUGCGAUGGAGGGACGGAGAAGGCUAGGCCAGCUUGGCGUUGGUUGUCCAAGUUUAAGGUGGUAGGCUGAAAUCUUAGGUAAAUCCGGGAUUUCAAGGCCGAGAGCUGAUGACGAGUUGCCUUUAGGCGACGAAGUGGUUGAUACCAUGCUUCCAAGAAAAGCUCCUAAGCUUCAGAUAACUGGGAACCGUACCCCAAACCGACACAGGUGGUCAGGUAGAGAAUACCAAGGCGCUUGAGAGAACUCGGGUGAAGGAACUAGGCAAAAUGGUGCCGUAACUUCGGGAGAAGGCACGCUGAUAUGUAGGUGAAGCCCCUGCGGGUGGAGCUGAAAUCAGUCGAAGAUACCAGCUGGCUGCAACUGUUUAUUAAAAACACAGCACUGUGCAAACACGAAAGUGGACGUAUACGGUGUGACGCCUGCCCGGUGCCGGAAGGUUAAUUGAUGGGGUUAGCGGCAACGCGAAGCUCUUGAUCGAAGCCCCGGUAAACGGCGGCCGUAACUAUAACGGUCCUAAGGUAGCGAAAUUCCUUGUCGGGUAAGUUCCGACCUGCACGAAUGGCGUAAUGAUGGCCAGGCUGUCUCCACCCGAGACUCAGUGAAAUUGAACUCGCUGUGAAGAUGCAGUGUACCCGCGGCAAGACGGAAAGACCCCGUGAACCUUUACUAUAGCUUGACACUGAACACUGGUCCUUGAUGUGUAGGAUAGGUGGGAGGCUUUGAAGCGUGGACGCCAGUCUGCGUGGAGCCGUCCUUGAAAUACCACCCUUUAAUGGCUGGUGUUCUAACGUAGACCCGUAAUCCGGGUUGCGGACAGUGUCUGGUGGGUAGUUUGACUGGGGCGGUCUCCUCCCAAAGAGUAACGGAGGAGCACGAAGGUUAGCUAAUCCUGGUCGGACAUCAGGAGGUUAGUGCAAUGGCAUAAGCUAGCUUGACUGCGAGAGUGACGGCUCGAGCAGGUGCGAAAGCAGGUCAUAGUGAUCCGGUGGUUCUGUAUGGAAGGGCCAUCGCUCAACGGAUAAAAGGUACU